rnacentral:rRNA from 1 species
GACGAACGCUGGCGGCGUGCUUAACACAUGCAAGUCGAACGGAAAGGCCCUGCUUUUGUGGGGUGCUCGAGUGGCGAACGGGUGAGUAACACGUGAGUAACCUGCCCUUGACUUUGUGAUAACUUCAGGAAACUGGGGCUAAUACCGGAUAGGAGCUCCUGCUGCAUGGUGGGGGUUGGAAAGUUUCGGCGGUUGGGGAUGGACUCGCGGCUUAUCAGCUUGUUGGUGGGGUAGUGGCUUACCCAGGCUUUGACGGGUAGCCGGCCUGAGAGGGUGACCGGCCACCUGGGGACUGAGGUACGGCCCAGACUCCUACGGGAGGCAGCAGUGGGGAAUAUUGCACAAUGGGCGGAAGCCUGAUGCAGCAACGCCGCGUGCGGGAUGACGGCCUUCGGGUUGUAAACCGCUUUCGCCUGUGACGAAGCGUGAGUGACGGUAAUGGGUAAAGAAGCACCGGCUAACUACGUG